AACGUAGGUGGCUAACGUUAUCCGGAUUUACUGGGCGUAAAGCGCGCGCAGGCGGCUUCGCAAGUCGGGCAUGAAACCUCCUCGCCUAACGGGGAGAAGCUGUCCGAUACUGCGAGGCUUGAGGUCGGUAGAGGGUGGUGGAAUUCCGCAUGUAGUGGUGAAAUGCGUAGAGAUGCGGAGGAACACCAGUGGCGAAGGCGGCCACCUGGACCGAUCCUGACGCUAAAGCGCGAAAGCUAGGGUAGCAAACGGG
rnacentral:rRNA from 1 species